GUUGAUUAUUUGACCGGUUAAAGGAUGAGAGAGGGAGGGGUCUGACUGGAUGGGUCCUUAAAAAAGGAGAGCAGGAAGCAGUAGAACUCAACUCACAAACAGAGCGCUGACAUGACCAGACUACAGGAGACUAUCACCAUGGCGAUGUUGACCCUUCUACUGCUUCUCAGCGCUGCCUUUACACUGGGCGACAGAAUGACUGCGCGCAUAGCAAAUGAUUUGGUGACAUUUGCAGCAGACCAAAGAAACCCAUGCCCCAGAGGCUGGUUCCAAUUUAAUUCACGCUGCUUCAUGUUUGUCAAAACUGCAAGGACAUGGCCCAAUGCAGAGCGCCACUGUCAGUUACUUGGACAAAACUGAAGCCUGUGUACAACACUGUAAAGUACCAUUGGCGCAAACCUGGCAUCUGUGCACAGCUAUGAAGAGUCCCAAUUUCUACAGGCGGUGGUGUUGAUCACGACUGGCAGUUUCCCUCUUACCUGGAUUGGCGGAUUUGAUGCUGUUCAAGCAAAGGUGGAAAAGGACAGGCUAUGGUUCUGGAGUGACGGCUCCAAAUUUGAUCACGAGAGCUGGGCUGAAGGGGAGCCGAAUAA